rnacentral:rRNA from 1 species
CACCGUGGUUAUGCUACACUGUCCUUAACAUAACUCUUUGUCAAAGCCUCAGUAUCUCAGUAGCUAAGCAGGGUGAGGCCUGGUUAGUGCUUGGAUGGGAGAGCGCUGGUAAUACCUGGAGCCACAGUGG